AUUGAACGCUGGCGGCAGGCCUAACACAUGCAAGUCGAGCGCGAAAGUUUUCGGAUGAGUAGAGCGGCGAACGGGUGAGUAACGCGUGGGAAUUUGCCUAGUAGUGGGGGACAACCAGUGGAAACGCUGGCUAAUACCGCAUACGCCCUACGGGGGAAAGGGGGCUUCGGCUCUCGCUAUUGGAGAAGCCCGCGUUGGAUUAGCUAGUUGGUAGGGUAAAGGCCUACCAAGGCUACGAUCCAUAGCUGUCUGAGAGGAUGAUCAGCCACACUGGGACUGAGACACGGCCCAGACUCCUACGGGAGGCAGCAGUGGGGAAUAUUGCACAAUGGGGGAAACCCUGAUGCAGCCAUGCCGCGUGUGUGAAGAAGGCCUUCGGGUUGUAAGCACUUUAAGCAAUGAGGAAGGCCGUAAGGUUAAUACCCUUACGGAUUGACGUUAGUUGCAGAAUAAGCACCGGCUAACUCCGUGCCAGCCGCCGCAGUAA
rnacentral:rRNA from 1 species